GAUGCAAGCCCGAUGAAGCUUGGUGGUCUAGCAAAAUAUUGCGUUUACUUUUUAUCAUAUCGUUUGAUUUUGAAUUAUACAUACGAAAAACAAUAUUGACAACAAAACGUAAAUUUCAAUCUGGUAUGGCAGGAAUGAGAAUAUUUUUUUUUCGUUUCCGAAUAUCUCAAAUUAAGGCACAAACAAGUUAAUUACAUGACGGGAUUCUGAUAAGUGCUCAGUAUUAUUUAUGGUUAUCCAUUUCAAUAAAUACUUGAGAAUGAGUGAGACACAUAAAGAUUCAUUCAACUAAGGAGGUUUUUCAUUUAAUUGAUUUUGAAAUUUCCCUAUUCCUAGUGCAAUAGUUAAGUUGACCAAGUUUAUAUUUUAAGCAAUGUUAUUAUGCCUAUAUGUGUCAGGAAGUUCACAAUGCACCAAUCAUUGCCUUAAAUUAUUAAUAUAAUUGUUUCCUUGUCAUUAAUAUAUGAUGGCUCUAAAUGGAUGGAUUUUAACUUGUGUAAUAUUUCUUUCAUUCAAUAUAAUUUACUCCAAGACUUGUAGCAGAAAAAGAAGUUUUGGGUCUGGAGGAACAACAAUAUAUGCAGUAGAAUAUUAUUGUUGCGCUAAUUCAUAUUCAAAGAAUGGAACAUGUAGAAUAUGUCCAGUUGGUUAUACUACAAACCAAGAUGGAACAGAUUGUGACCCAUGUCCAGAUGGCCAAUACGGUAACAGGUGUGCGGAUGAAUGUUUUUGUAAACAAGAUGAACGAUGUAAUAACAUUCUUGGGUGUGUAUCAGAGGACACAACAGUGACGGCGGUUAAUCAGACAGGUAAUGUACUCCUCGAUAUUUAACGUAUUUUGUGUUUUGAGAUGUAUAUUGCCUUUCUUAGAUAUAGGAUAUUGAAUCAAUGAUUUUAGAAAUGUCAUGCUCACAUAAAGCAAAUUAUUUGAGAUUAAUGUACACCUUUCUGAGUACCAGGCCAUUCAAACUAAAGUAAAACAAGAUACCAAAUUUAUAUUUAUAUACGAUUUAAUUCCGGAAGUGAGACAUUUUCUAAACGAUGGUCCCCCCUCAAUUUGUAACAGGAAAAAGUAAUAGGUUUAUGAACGUUAGACGUUCAGCGGAAUAUAUAACACAUAUAUAGAAGACAAGAACGAGUUUAUGUGAUAUGCAUAUAUACCCCAUUUUCUACAUGACUGACAUGUCGAGGCGACUAGUCGCUGAUUUUAGUUUUAGUGCCACAUGCUAAUCUGAGAGACAGCAAAUAUUAAAAUUUUAAGUAUUUAUUGUGAGCCAGGGGGGAUAUAGAAAACACCACACCCGCACUCGCGACAAGCAUGCAACAACGAAACCGUCGAACCACUGUACCGAAUGAAUAAAAAAAGGUAAUUAAAUUCAAAUCUGAAUAAAUACCGGGAGAGCAAAAAAACCUACAACAGUAUAAAGACAAAGUGGGUUACCUCGCCUAAGGGCAACGUUUUCUGAGGAAGUAAGAACUUACAUUGAAUGGUCAUAAAAUUUCUCGCUGAACAUAUUAGAUCGAAUGCACUAGUUUGGAACUCUGAUAACUUGUAUAAAGAAACACAUUUUAAAAUCAUCUACGAUCUUCGAUUUGUUUUUACCUGAUUCAUAUAACUAAAGCUUCGAAUUCCUAUUCUGACAUCGGACUCGGACUUCUCUUAUACUGAGUUUGACUGUGCGUACAUUGGCUAGAGGUAUAGGGGGAGGGUUAAGAUCUCAAAAAACAUGUUUAACCCCGCCGCAUUUUUGCGCCUGUCCCAAGUCAGGAGCCUCUGGCCUUUGUUAGUCUUGUAUCAUUUUUAAUUUAGUUUCCUGUGUAUAAUUUGGAGUUAAGUAUGACGUCCAUUAUCACUGAACUAGUAUACAUAUUUGUUUAGGGGCCAGCUGAAGGACGCCUCCGGGUGCGGGAGUUUCUCGCUGCAUUGAAGACCCAUUGGUGGCCUUCGGCUGUUGUCUGCUCUAUGGUCGGGUUGUUGUCUCUUUGACACAUUCCCCAUUUCCAUUCUCAAUUUUAUAAAUAUGAUUGGUCGUUAAAUUAUUCAUUAUAAACCUAAGGAGACGUUUUACGAUUGCCGAUAAAACAACUAUCCACUAGAGUCAAAAUUACUUUGACAUACGCAGCUAAAGGUCACUUCGCUCCCAGCAUUUAACAAUGAAUUGAAUUGUUAAUCCAUUCCAAUAAAUGGAAGGAAUAAGGCAUUUUUGAAAUCUUAUAUAGAAUUUCCAAUUGAAUUAUAAAAUAUAGGCUUGCUUAUUUUCAGAUCACAGCAAAUUGUUGGGAUUUUCAAGGAAAAACUUUCGAAUCGCCGUCUACUCCGGAUGUUCUGGACUUGUGUUUGUAAUUCUCUGCAUUUUGGUAGGAUACGGAUGUUACAUCAAGGGAAAUCAACAUGCUGUUAGUGUUGGUUUAUCUACUUUGGCCGAUAACAACGUUAUCCAAAACAGAAUACAACUACCUUUACAACACUCUUCGCAUGAAGCAGAAGAAAAUAGAACAAACAAUGAUGAAACCGAGGAGAUCACUUUCUAUACAGAGAAACCUGAUAUGUUGAUUGAAGAUAAAGAAAAUGAAAGAAAGGAAUAUUGGAACAAGAACAACGAGGAAGGUACCUGUGAUAGUUACCUUAUCCCUUACGAAACAGCAGAAACAGAUGGUGAUGAAUUUAGCUGUUUUCCGGAUGAGAAUGAACAACCAACAGUUCAUAGAGAUGAACCCUCUGAUCCUAGAUAUCUCAACAGUUAUCAACCACUAAAUCAUCAACCUCUACAACAUCUUUAUACUGAGUUACAAUAGAAAAAUAAAACAACAAUCAUAGUUCCUUCUCAGAACUUAACAUAGUAAAGAUAUAACCCGUUCGAGCAAGGGCAUUGACUAAAUGAACGCUUGUUACCAUGGAAAUCUUAUCAUUUCUUUUCCCCUAAUGUUGUAUGAUCUGCAUGACAUGUAUAUCAUUACAACCUUGCAUCUUUUACCAUUUGACACCAAUAACGGAAGUACAAUCAAUCAUGCCAAAACCUCCAUGUCAGGAUUAAUGACAAAUUGACAAAUUUUCAACUUGUUUCUUUAUUAUCCUUUUUUGACGUCAUGUCAAUUGGGUACAGAUGCGCAGUUCUGUUAUUGUAGCCUUUUCCUCAAUUCCUGUGCUCAUAUCGUAAACUUGGAUAUGUUUGAAUGCUCGUUUUGAAACUGAAACAUUUUCACAUAUGUGGUUAUAUUUUCGGGGUACGAAGUGAGAUUCGUUUUUCCAUAAUUUAGCAAACCCCGAAAAGUCUUCUGUGAUGCGGCUUCUCGAGGUAAAAAAUCCCCUUUUUCUCACAAUAAGUUCUUUGAAAAUUUAGUUCCUUGCAUACAUUUAAUAACUUCAUAGUUUUUACACCUUUAUUCUAUGGUCCUCUGCUCUACAAAUCAGCACAAAUGGUAAAGCUCAGUCACUUGUUAAAAAUUGGAAUAUGUCCAAUAUCACUACACAGAGAUUUUUUUUACGCACUACUUUUGUGUUCCUCAAUUUGAGGUGCAUUAGUUAUAUUGACCCAGUUGGGUUGCUAUGUUUAUUUCUGAUGUAGAUUAUUUGACUUGCUGAAAACGUAUCGAUUACAGAUGAAUGAAAAAUUUGAAAUUUCUCAAAGGAAUUAAUAAUACCUGGUUAAUUAUUGUCUCUUUGAUUGUUGUUGUUGUGCUGAUCAAUAUCCUUUAAAACAGAAUACUAGUAUAAAAAAGGAGAGUUCCCAGAGUUAUAUCAUCAACAGACCCUUUCGCUGCUCAUGAGCCAUUUUUCAAACCAUUAAACUGGAAGACGCGUUAAAAGAGAAUGAGAUAUUACAAGUUUGUGUUGAAGUGUAUCAAAAUCGAUGCCGUUUCUAUCUUUCUAGUAAACUUUAUUGUGUUUCAGACAAUAACAGAAAUGCCGUUCAAGGAUAUUGUUCAUUAACCAAAAAAAUAAUUGUUCCAUAACCAUGAUAAUCAAAUGUUUGAUUGCUAAAAAAUUGUUUUUGUGUUCCUGACUAUCAAUCAACGUCUGUUAGAAAUAAUAAAAAUUAUGAAUUUGUGUUCGUAA